GGGCUGUACAUUCCUGGGUUGAGCAUUCUCGGGCCGCGCAAUAUUGGUCCGGGGCGAUAAUACGAAGCCACUCUUUUCACAGGGCAAUAAUGUACGACCCCAUAAUUCGCGUCCAAUAAUUUGAGUCCCUUGGCUUUCAAUUAUUGGGCUGCGCAUUAUUGGUACAGGUCGAGAAAGCUCGACCCAAUAAUGUACGACCCAAUAAUAGGAAGCCAAAAACCAGAGAGAUUCUUUUUUUUAAGGGAGCUGUCAAAAUUAGUAGGGACGUUCUGACAUUAGCUCUUGACAAUUUAAAAAUAAUCGGUUUUUUCUAGUGCCAUCUUUCAGUGACAUUGACAGUAUUGUAUUGACACUUGUUGGUUUACAAAUACAAUAAAAUGAAUUCUAAUAAAAGAAACAGUAGACUCAGUAGAGGUACGAGGUACUGAAAAAAUAUUAAUUAAUGGAGAAGCCGAAGUUGGAGGAAAACAAGAAGAUUCGAGGAGAAUGGUGUGGCACUUAAUGCCGCCGGGACAGUAACCUAGCUGCAGCUCCAACUCUAGGGAAUUGGGCUGAAUAAACGCAACACGUGAUCGACAGCCCACCUGCUUCCUGCCGAGCGUCCCUACACUACAUCUACAUGGAUUCGCUUAUUCUGCUCUACAAAACUUCUGAGCUGAUACAAGCAGCCAGAAUGAGUCUCUGCUGAGUCGCCGGCGCCGGACGUGCGUCGCGCGCCUCGGGCGACUGACGUCUUCGUGUGAGUCGCCAAUUGCAGGGGAAGAUACGAAUAGUUAGGUAUAAAAGCUACUUUAGUCAACCUCGCCUCAGUACUGUUUGUAUUGACUGAAAUACAAGUAGCAUAUAUGAGACGUUCGGACGUAUCCGUGAAAAUACGAAGGUAAAGGAAAUUGCACUACAUUUUUAGAACCUAUUCACCUGUCAGUAAAAUAUUGAAAAGGAAAGUUCAUGAGUUUUAUUAUUUUCUUUCCUCCAACAGCUUCACAUGGAGCAAAUGUAAACCUUUUAUGUUAAUAAUAUCAGUAAUGUCAAGGUACAACGCUCUUUAGAGCAUAUUGCCAUUCCUUUUACUCGAGUGGCCUGUGGGUUAACUAUACGAAGCGAGCCUACGAUGCAUUAAAAGUGCAGUAUAACAAUGCAUUCAGAAUGCUGUUGGGCUUACCUCGUAGAUGUAGUGCAUCUGGCAUGUUUUGCGAAGCUAGAAGUUUUCUGGCAAUCAUGCGCAAGAAAAUAGUAUCUCUGCUAGGUCGAGUUAGAAGCAGUCCCAAACAUACAUGUUCGAAAAGUAGAACUCCCUUGGUAGGCCAAGCAAUAAGAAGUUAUAGAGGGAAAUGCUAGGAACACAAUUUUUGACUACGUAACUUUGUUUGGACUAGUUAGGAGGUGAACAUAUCAAAAGUCCCCGGCUGUAGCCCCGGUGCUGGGGGGUAGACUAGUUAUAGUCCAAACAAAGUUACGGAGUCAAAAACUGUGUUCCUAGCAUUUCCCUCUACAACGUUUUUUGAGCAUUCAUUUCCUGACCUAUAGAUCGUGUUUCAAUUUAUCGCCUCUCGUUGGCAAUUAAGGUGGUUCGCUUUCCAUACAAAAAAAAACAAUUACAUAAGUACCUAAUAGUGUGUAAUUAC